UUGGAAGCAGAUAAAUAAGCAUGAAAGUAGAUCUGUUGGUGAAAGCUCUUGAGAGGUAAAAAGACAGAGAGAAAAUGAGACUCUGCAGAAAAGUCAAUUUUCAUGACCAAGGUCACCUCAGGCCU